rnacentral:rRNA from 1 species
UACGUAGGUGACCAGCGUUGUCCGGAUUUACUGGGCGUAAAGAGCGCGCAGGCGGUCGUUCAAGUCGAGUGUGAAAGCCCCCGGCUCAACUGGGGAGGGUCACUCGAUACUGAUCGACUUGAAGGCAGGAGAGAGAAGCGGAAUUCCCGGUGUAGUGGUGAAAUGCGUAGAUAUCGGGAGGAACACCAGUGGCGAAGGCGGCUUCCUGGCCUGUUCUUGACGCUGAGGCGCGAAAGCUAGGGGAGCAAACGGG